ensembl:lncRNA
UACCUCCUGCUGGGCUGCUCCUGGUUGACUACAUAUUUGGCUCGCUGCCUUCUCUUCAUGUUGGCCUCUGUGUACUAUAGACCCUUUGGACUUUAGUUACAAGAAUAUGGCGUUUAUGAUCAUGUUCUUUUGCCUCCCAUAGCCUCUUGCUUUUCUACGUUAGUGUCACAUGUUAUGUGAUCGCACCCGGACUGUUCAUACGUUAAGCACACAUACUUUAGAUGUGUGCUGCCUUUUAUCUACAUUGCCUGGACCUUGUUCUUGGCUCUGGCCUUUCCUACUUGUCUUUAACAUGGACACUCAUGAGUAAUCCUCCAGGACGACCAGUGCAUCCUCAAGCUCUGCUCCUUCAGGGCCAGUGACUUGCUGGGCUUCGUGUUCAUGCUGGCCAUGCAUCCAUGCAUGUCAUCUAUGCAAGCGUUUCCAUUGCCACUGCAGAAUGAAGCCAGUGCACAUGGUAUUUGUCAUCAGCCAGAACUUAACUGUUCUGUGGGUCUGGGGUCACCAGCUAAGAUGUCACCUACUUUAUUUCUGGCUUUGGCCUGUGGUCCAUGAGACCCAUCCUGCUUGAUGUUCUCUGCAGAAUGGCACUUAACUGCUGGGCAUGCAUGAAGUUAAGGGCAAGAAGCAGUAUGCCAUGUGUUCUGUACCAUCGUGUGUCUCUUCUUGCUUCUGGGCCCUUCUACUGGUGAACUUCAGUCUCAUCAGGAUCUUCCCAUGCUGUGUCACUAUCAAGCCAUUAAGUUUUGUCUGGGUUGCUGUCAGCCCCAGUUGGCUUCCUGGUCAACAAGGACCUCAAGAACUGCCUGUGGACUGAGGCCCCCUACCAGUGCAUGAGACACACACCUACCCUCCCCAGCUUUCCAGGAACCCUACUGGCUGCCAGACUGAUGGGCGGGCUGUUAUGUGUGGACAUGUGUUCACCAUCAUUAUGCUGUGGCUCCAGACAUGCGCAGAAGUGGAGAGGAUGGUCCUUGGACCCCAUGUGUCCAUCACCUAGCUGCAUCAUUUAUCAGUUAUGGUCAACCUGGUUUCAUCUGUAUCUGCCUCUUUUCAUCUGUAUUGUUUAUUGAAAAUCCAAGACACUAAGCCAAUGCAAUUGUGACUACUUUGGGAGAUUGGUAGUCUCUUUUGAUGGUGAUAGUGAUGGGGUGCACUAUCAUAAUCACAUCAGGUCUGCUUUUUGCUUUUAAUGUUAACUAAUGAAGUUCCAGAGAUGGGCCUUAGAAAUGUGUUUUAAGAAUUAACAAGGAGUCUCAAAAAGAAAUGAGAGGGAUGCUUCCUUUCCCUUGCAUCCACAAAACAAGAGAGAGACUGUUCUGUUGUAAAACUCUUUCAAAAAUUCUGAUAUGAUAAGGUACUCGAGACCCUUCAGCAGAAUGUAAAUCUUUUUUUUCUGUGUAACAUGGAAACUUGUGUGACCGUUAGCAUUGUAACCAACUUGUACUGGUCUCAUAACUCUGGUUUUGGAAGAAUAAUUUGGAAAUUGUUGCUGUGUUCUGUGAAAAUAACCUCUCCAAAAAUAAUUGGUAACUGGUUGUUGUACUUGGUAAUUUGACACCCUGUUAAUAACGCAAUUAUUUCUGUGUUCCUAAACAGUAUAAAUAGUUGUAAGUUUGCAUGCGUGGUGGAAAAAUAAAAACCUGUAUCUCUGUUAUAUUUCUGAUUUU